CCUACGGGUGGCUGCAGUGAGGAAUAUUGGUCAAUGGGCGCGAGCCUGAACCAGCCACGUCGCGUGAAGGAUGACUGCCCUACGGGUUGUAAACUUCUUUUAUAAAGGAAUAAAGUGCGGCACGUGUGCCUUUUUGUAUGUACUUUAUGAAUCAGGAACGGCUAACUCCGUGCCAGCAGCCGCGGUAAUACGGAGGAUCCGAGCGUUAUCCGGAUUUAUUGGGUGUAACGGGUGCGUAGAUGGGUUGUUAAGUCAGUUGUGAAAGUUUGCGGCUCAACCGUAAAAUUGCAAUUGAUACUGGCAGUCUUGAGUACAGUAGAGGUAGGCGGAAUUCGUGGUGUAGCGGUGAAAUGCUUAGAUAUCAGGAAGAACACCGAUUGCGAAGGCAGCUUACUGAGCCGCCACUGACAUUGAGGCUCGAAAGUGUGGGUAGCAAACAGGAUUAGAUACCCCGGUAGUC
rnacentral:rRNA from 1 species